rnacentral:lncRNA from 1 species
CAGAGACAGAGGAAAGGCUGAAGGUUGAGUUGAUUACCAGUAGCUCACGAUAUAAUCAUUCAUGCCUACAUAACACAGCUUUCAUAAGAACCCAAUAGGACAGGGUUCAAGGACCCUCUAAAGAAUGCCACACCUAUAGAGGCAUGGAAACUCUUUGCCACUUUCAUCUGACUAUUGAUCUAUAUCCUUUGUAAUGCCUCUUAUAAGAAAUGGGCAGAUUCUAGCAGUGUUUGUGAGAAAAACUGAUGGAUCCUGCAGAUUAACUAUGGACAGCCAAAUAUUGAGUAAAGUGAUGUCUACAACAGCAUCAGCUAUGCCUGAUAUGGUGUUAAUUCACAUUGUGAAGUCCUCAAUAGGAAAAAGAUGCCUCCCUGGUCGACCUUCCUGGAAAGUAUGCAUAUCAUUACUGCUUAGAUUUUGUUGGAGAGAAAUCACACUACCAUCAAAGACAACGGGUCAAAAAGAAUGCCGUCCUAAGCUGAGAAGCCAUCUUCCUAACGACAGCCAUGUAAUAUGAAAGGGAAAAACACACUGUUAUUGAAGAACUUAUCAGCUAUGUCACAUCUUCCACACAAAUACUCAGGAAAGUUAAAAGAAAAUUUUACCUCGGACACAGUUGAUGUACCUCAGUCUUGUACAAAACUUAGAACUCACUAAGUCUGAAAUAAGACUUUAAACUCUCUCUGAGGUGAAGUUG